GUCUACAGCCAUACCACCCUGAAUGUGCCUGAUCUCAGAAGCUAAGCAGGGUCGGGCCUGGUUCAUACUUGGAUGGGAAACACCAACUGCUUACAAGUGGCAGCCAGGAAGCAGAGAGA
rnacentral:rRNA from 1 species